UACGUAGGGUGCGGGCGUUGUCCGGAAUUAUUGGGCGUAAAGGGCUCGUAGGCGGUCUGUUGCGUCGGGAGUGAAAACUCAGGGCUUAACCCUGAGCCUGCUUCCGAUACGGGCAGACUAGAGGUAUGCAGGGGAGAACGGAAUUCCUGGUGUAGCGGUGAAAUGCGCAGAUAUCAGGAGGAACACCGGUGGCGAAGGCAGUUCUCUGGGCAUUACCUGACGCUGAGGAGCGAAAGUGUGGGGAGCGAACAGG
rnacentral:rRNA from 1 species